GCCACCUUAGCUCAGUCGGUAGAGCAGCUGUUUCGUAAAUAGCAGGUCGCGGGUUCGAGUCCCACAGGUGGCU
rfam:Chlorobium sp. GBChlB GB_Chlorobi_Contig_133, whole genome shotgun sequence.